UUAUCUGGUGACUGAAUAAAGUAGUAGACUGUAGAUCUACCAAUGGAGUUAAGUCUCCCCGAUAAA
rnacentral:tRNA from 1 species